CUGAGAGGUGAAGACAGGUGAGUGGUCAGGGCUUGCUGUCUAGAUAGUUUAGCCAAGAGUAGAGCUCCAGUUUCAGGGAGAGGCUCUGUCUCAAAAAACUAUGAGUGACCCAGGAAAAACCCCAUGUCCACCUCUGCCUUCUACAUACACAUGUGUGGGUGAACACACCCGCACAUGUACACACAAAUGAACGAUCAUGUGCCAGGACUCAUAGUCUCAAAACUUUGUUUAAACGACGUUCUUUUUAGUUUUUCACUUUAUUUGUAAUCUUACAUGUGUAUAUGGAUUUGGGUACAUGAGUGCAGGUGUCCGCACAGGCCAGAAGAGGGUGCCAGAGCCCAUGGACCUAGAGUUACAGGCAGUCUGGAAUGGGCACUCAGGACUGAGCUCAGGUCCUCUGCAAGAGCAGUGCCGGCUCUUAACCAUGAUGCCAUCUGUCCAGCCCUCAGCACUACUCUUCAACUGAAUACCAGCUGUUAAUUAUCAUUAUUAAGGAUUAUUAAAAAUAAGGACCCAGAUGUUCCAGGAACUCUUCAAUUGCUUUGUAGAGUGGUCUGGAGCCUACUCAACAAUCUGGGGAUGAAAGGACUCUCACCUGGAGAAGCUGAGGCCUCAAGGGGGAACAAUCUGACAGAGAGAGCCUCAGAUCGGCUGCAGCUGUUCUUGACCCGAUGACUUCUGGCUUCGUGGAAGGAGUUGUUUAUCGUCCGCGAGUUACGAACGCACCGUAGGCAGCUGGGAGAUGCUGUAAGCAGCAGGUCCGGUGUGGACAGCCACCCCGCGGAUCAGCUGAGAAUUCUGACCUUGGGUCAAACCAGUUUGUGUUUUGACCGCUUCCUUUCGAGUGUGUAUUUUAAUGACUUGAAAUUCCCCCCUUGGGUUAUCUACGUCACUCUCUUUUGAUAGACAGAAAGAAGAAGGAAUAUCAGUGGCCUCCUUUUUGAGAACUGUGACUCGACUGUCACAGAACAGCAAGAGGCACAUCAGAUGCCACCCUCAAUGACUCCAAAAGGCAACCCUAGGAAUGGCUUCUAUGAAACAGAGCAACUCGUGUGGGGAUGGAUCUCGCCACCAGCCCCAGGAAGCUCUUUCUCACCCCUUUAAGCUUCCAGUAGUGCCAGAUGAUUUUUUUGGUUUGUGACAGUGUCCCCUCCGCUCUCUUUCUCUGGCACAUGCCUUCUCUUUGGUAAACUCACAUUUCCUGGGUUAUUUUGACCAGCCCUACUUCCCCAUGUGGAGUGGUUCAGUAUUAAAAAUCACUUGUACAACACCAGCCUUCCCCACCAGACUAUCAUUCUGACAUGGGCAAGAUGCGUGCCUGUCUUUCUGCUGGACGCAACUCCAGUGCCCAGUGCACAGCCUGCUGAGGAAUAGUCAUACGUCAGAUACUUACGGAAUGAAAAA